GACGAACGCUGGCGGCGUGCUUAACACAUGCAAGUCGAACGAUGAUCAGGAGCUUGCUCCUGUGAUUAGUGGCGAACGGGUGAGUAACACGUGAGUAACCUGCCCCUGACUCCGGGAUAAGCGUUGGAAACGACGUCUAAUACUGGAUACGACUGCCGGCCGCAUGGUCUGGUGGUGGAAGGAUUUUUUGGUUGGGGAUGGACUCGCGGCCUAUCAGCUUGUUGGUGAGGAAAGGGCUCACCAAGGCGACGACGGGUAGCCGGCCUGAGAGGGUGACCGGCCACACUGGGACUGAGACACGGCCCAGACUCCUACGGGAGGCAGCAGUGGGGAAUAUUGCACAAUGGGCGAAAGCCUGAUGCAGCAACGCCGCGUGAGGGAUGACGGCCUUCGGGUUGUAAACCUCUUUUAGUAGGGAAGAAGCGAAAGUGACGGUACCUGCAGAAAAAGCACCGGCUAACUACGUGCCAGCAGCCGCAGUAA
rnacentral:rRNA from 1 species